CCUACGGGAGGCAUCAGUGAGGAAUAUUGGUCAAUGGGCGGGAGCCUGAACCAGCGACGCCGCGUGAGUGAAGAAGUAUUUCGGUAUGUAAAGCUCUAUCAGCAGGGAAGAAAGAAAUGACGGUACCUGAGUAAGAAGCCCCGGCUAACUACGUGCCAGCAGCCGCGGUAAUACGUAGGGGGCAAGCGUUAUCCGGAAUUACUGGGUGUAAAGGGAGCGUAGACGGUAAUGCAAGUCUGGAGUGAAAGGCGGGGGCCCACCCCCCGGACUGCUCUGGAAACUGUGUAACUGGAGUGCAGGAGAGGCAGGCGGAAUUCCUAGUGUAGCGGUGAAAUGCGUAGAUAUUAGGAGGAACACCAGUGGCGAAGGCGGCCUGCUGGACUGUAACUGACGUUGAGGCUCGAAAGCGUGGGGAGCAAACAGGAUUAGAUACCCCGGUAGUC
rnacentral:rRNA from 1 species